CCGGCCUUUCUCCUUUUCAUAGUAAUUAUUCUCUCACUAAGCUCAGGAAGCACGCCCUCCACCAUCUCAUUAAGCGAACCGGCUGUGGCUGACUCUUCCCUCCUCUAACAACUGUGGCUCCUCAUAGCCGGCACAAUGACGUCCAAAGCUGUCGGCUCCCGCACGGGUUCCUCCCUUUGAGGCUUGUCUUUCGCACUCCUUCCACCUGCUCGGAGAACUGCGCCCAGGAGGCUGAGCAAGGCUGAUCUUCUACCUGGAAAAGUGGAAGAAGUGAGAGGUCACGAGUCACUUGGACAUCACUGUACCACCUAAGGCCCAAUGGAGAAUGAGUAAGGCUACUAUAAACAUGGUUUAUCUGUGCUAUAGGAAUGCAAAACAUUGUUUGGUGUCAGAAUUUGCAAAACAUGCUUUAUAGCAAUUCAAAAAUAUAACAUGUAAGCCUGUAAGACACUGAAGAAACCAUCUAAGUCAUCUAAGCCCAAUGCCUUCAUUUUACAGAUUGCAUAAGUGAAGGCCAAACUUGCAGGAAUCCCAAGAUCUCAUUGAGAAUGAGAUUGAAUCUUAAUUAUCAUUACAAGCCUAUGCAUUUCUUCCAGAACAUAAUAAGCAUUAAAUUGAUAAAUCAGGUUUCUUGGAUUAAUUGUGAAUGAAUUGAAAAAGGUCCUGGAUUUUCUAACUCUCAAGUCCAAUGUCAAACCCAGAACAAAACAAUUUGACACCAGAAUGACCUUUGGUAUCUCCUGCAGGUAAUGUGGACCCUGGUAUAUUUUAGUUGUUUCAAACAACUGAAAGCUGUGUCUGUUUUCCUGUAUCUUUGCCAACACUGAGC
rnacentral:lncRNA from 1 species